rnacentral:lncRNA from 1 species
AAUAAAUUGUAUUAGAAUAAGUAAUAUAUUUAUUAUAUAAGAAUGACGAUAAGGUCAAGGACAAAUAAAAUAAUAUUUCACAAGAUGUUUCUAUUUUAUAGAAUUGACAAAGCUCUUUUAACUAUGACAGAAGAUUCAGAAAUGGCUCCAAGCACUUUGAUUUUUGUUUCUACUCAAAGGAGAUUCAGAAGACGACAAACUUAUAUAAUACACCUGCUCAUAGAGAUGUACUGAUAUCCAUCUAUUCCACGUAAUGAAAAAGACAACAGAUUUUCACGUCUUUUGGAUACAUACCUAGAAGCGGAAUCACUGGGUCUUAUGGAAAGAGCUCAUCAACUGUAUUAGAAACUGCCUAGUUGUGUUAUGUAAGUACUUGAACCUCUUUUCAUCUCCACCAGCAGUGCACUAGAAUUCCAGUUCCCCCACAUUCUCACAGACACCUGGCAUUGACAGUUAUUUUAUUUUUAGCCAUUGUAGAAUGCCUUAGUGGCAUUUCA